UCAAGUCUAGGACGCUUCAGGCCUCAGCCUGCCCAAGCAAGCGGGCACCCGGCACCAGGUUGCAUGUCUGGCGCCCAGUCCCGGGGAGAGGCAGAUGUGUCUGAGCGAGGGCUGGGACCCCGGAGGAGCCAGGAACAGGAGAAUCCCGGAGGCUUUACCGAGCACCUGCUGUGUGCGGGGCCCCUGCGAGCCGGUGCUGGGGCCAGCUGCUGGGCCGCGCGCCUGUCUUGCCCGGCUGGGUAUUGAUGGAAAACCGAUGAAAAUGGACAGUUCAGAAAAGAACAAAGAAAAUGAAUACCAUCCACGGUCUCUUCCCCCAGAGAGAGUCACUGUUAAUAACUUAAAUAGUUUAAGGAGCUGCCUAGAAAAAUCUCCAUCAGUAUUCAUGUUUGGGGGACACCCUCAUCUGCACCUGACAGAGGUUGAUGGUGGUCCCUGAAAGACACUGGAUCUUGGGAGGAGGAGCCUGGCAGUAGGAGUGCAUUCCACCCCCGGUUGGGAGAGGUGGAGGAUCAGACGUUGCAGACACCUCACAGAGGCUGGUACUUGAACCCCUGCCUCAGCCCCUCCCUGGAGGAAAGGACAGUCUGCAGACAUAGAGCUGCCAUGCUGCCACAUCCAGGGGCCCAAGCCAUGCCCAAAUCACAGGAUGGGGCACUUUCCCUGUCGCUUUGCUCCUCUGUGCUCUCAAAGCACCCUACAGGUACAAGAGUGUCAGGGCUGGAAUGAUGGGGUACCCCAUGCACGGUGCUCCGCAGUAGCAUGGACAAGUAGUGUGGGCCUGUCUCUGGCGCAGCUAGCGACACUAACGCAGGGGCCUCGGCUCAGCAGAAGCCCCCCUGUCAGCAACAGCACAUGACAUCUGAGAUUGCUUUCUGAGUGCAGCAAGACACUUUGGGGACACCCAGAAACACACAGGACGAUGGACUUGUCAGGGAAGGAGAAUUCCCACACUGGCAGGAUGGCUCUGGGCUGGCAUAAACCAUGAUUUGAUUUGAAUGUGGCACUACUUAUAAUCAAAUGGUGAAUGCUAGAGAUAUUCAAGUUAUCUAAAAACAAAUGACCAGGGACACCCAGCUGGUUCAGUCACUAGAGCAUGCAACUCUUGGUCUCAGGGUUGUAAGUUCAAGCCCUGCACUGGGUAUAGAGAUUACUUUAAAAAAAAUUUUUUUUAAAUAAAUAAAAAAAUUUUUUAAAAGUGACCAUAUUGGAUAUACUGUUUUGUAAUCUACUUUUUUUUCUUUCUCAACAAUUAUCAUAAAUGUCUUUCUGGGGAUCCCUGGGUGGCG